AUUGAACGCUGGCGGCAUGCCUUACACAUGCAAGUCGAACGGCAGCACGGGAGCAAUCCUGGUGGCGAGUGGCGAACGGGUGAGUAAUAUAUCGGAACGUGCCCAGUCGUGGGGGAUAACGUAGCGAAAGCUACGCUAAUACCGCAUACGAUCUAUGGAUGAAAGCGGGGGAUCGCAAGACCUCGCGCGAUUGGAGCGGCCGAUAUCAGAUUAGGUAGUUGGUGAGGUAAAGGCUCACCAAGCCGACGAUCUGUAGCUGGUCUGAGAGGACGACCAGCCACACUGGGACUGGGACACGGCCCAGACUCCUACGGGAGGCAGCAGUGGGGAAUUUUGGACAAUGGGCGCAAGCCUGAUCCAGCAAUGCCGCGUGCAGGAUGAAGGCCUUCGGGUUGUAAACUGCUUUUGUACGGAACGAAACGGCGAGCUCUAAUACAGUUUGCUAAUGACGGUACCGUAAGAAUAAGCACCGGCUAACUACGUGCCAGCAGCCGCCGUAACAC
rnacentral:rRNA from 1 species